AGCUGCUGAGGAGCAAGAGGCCUCCUGUAGCUGAAGCUGCCUGAUCCCCAGUUUUGUGCAAUGAAAUAGGCAAUGAUCAUCAAAAGCUUCUCCAUACAGAAGUGAGAUGGCUGUUGCAUGGAAGAUUUUGACUAGUCUCUUUGAACUCCAUUCUGAGGGAACCAUUGAUGGGGCUAAAGUAACAGGAGCUUCCCUUCUGCUAGUAUUUCCACCAUCCAGAAACUGAAAAGCCAAGAGAAAAAGAUCUCCUAUGUUAACCCCACAAAUCCUUAGAUGUGGUUCCUUAUUGUUUUUUCCUUCUGUAAAGCCUUAUGAUUUGGGUCCUGGUGAGGAUAGAGACUGCAGGACACAGAUUCUCAGAUGGCAUGAAGUUAGAAUAGCUCCAUUGACUUCAAAUGAGCUACACCAACUGAAAAUCUGCCUCCACUUCAUCCCCUCUCUCCUUGUAUGUCACCACAACAGUUAAGACAAUCUGUAAUGUCCUUCUAGUUAAGUCCCCUGAUUUGAAUGGGAGGAGGGGUUGGAGCCAGGCUAUUUUUCUAAGUGGGGGCCCCAUAAUCCUGAGAUUUGUUUCACUUGCCAAAAUAAAUGUAGCUAACAAAAUGGGGAAUUGAAAUAAUUAAAUGAACAGCAUGAUGAAUCCUGCACCCAAGCUCCCACAAGAAAGUUGUCCUAUUUCAUUAAAUUGAGAUGGUUUAAACUGAAAUAUAGGACCCUCAUAACCCAGGCCUCUCUCCAAUGGUCUUGCAACACCACAUACUUCAGCCUUCCCAUCUAGAGACCUGAAGGAAAAAAAAAAUCCUCCUCUCAC